rnacentral:rRNA from 1 species
UUGAACGCUGGCGGCAUGCCUUACACAUGCAAGUCGGACGGUAGAGGGGCAACCCUUGAGAGUGGCGAACGGGUGAGUAAUAUAUCGGAACGUGCCCAGUCGUGGGGGAUAACGCAGCGAAAGCUGCGCUAAUACCGCAUACGAUCUAUGGAUGAAAGCGGGGGAUCGCGAGACCUCGCGCGAUUGGAGCGGCCGAUAUCAGAUUAGGUAGUUGGUGGGGUAAAAGCCCACCAAGCCGACGAU